rnacentral:lncRNA from 1 species
GCUGCCUCCGUAGAUAGGUCUGAGACCUCAGUAGUGCACUCCUGUGGCUGUGGAUGUGCCAGAGCUAACACUUGCCCCUGCAAGUCAAAUACUCUCUCAAUCAGUCUCAAAAUGUAACCCUCGAGCUGUUGAAUCCGAACUGACUGAUCUGAGAUCAUCUGAAAUACAGUGGAGAUGUGGGGGAUCAAGGUCUGAUCAGAUGCAUCAAAUGAUAUGGAUCCCGGUGCAAAAGCUGAAGUGCUCCACUGUCGAGAAAGCAAGGAAGCCACACGCUGAGAAAUCAUCUUAAUCUGAUCAUCAGCCAAUCUGAUCUCUGAGGGAGGUGCUCUGCUGUCUGGCUGCUGAACUGGAGUGUGCCUCCUGGUGGACUCUAAAGGGCCAGCCUCUGGAUCUGAAACAAACUGGAUGUCUGGAGAUGCUGCCCU